AUUGAACGCUGGCGGCAGGCCUAACACAUGCAAGUCGAGCGGAUGAAGGGAGCUUGCUCCUGGAUUCAGCGGCGGACGGGUGUGUAAUGCCUAGGAAUCUGCCUGGUAGUGGGGGAUAACGUCCGGAAACGGGCGCUAAUACCGCAUACGUCCUGAGCGAGAAAGUGGGGGAUCUUCGGACCUCACGCUAUCAGAUGAGCCUAGGUCGGAUUAGCUAGUUGGUGGGGUAAAGGCCUACCCAGCCGACGAUCCGUAACUGGUCUGACAGGAUGAUCAGUCACACUGGAAGUGAGACACGGUCCAGACUCCUACGGGAGGCAGCAGUGGGGAAUAUUGGACAGUGGGCGAAAGCCUGAUCCAGCCAUGCCGCGUGUGUGAAGAAGGUCUUCGGAUUGUAAAGCACUUUAAGUUGGGAUGAAGGGCAGUAAGUUGAUACCUUGCUGUUUUGACGUUACCAACAGAAUAAGCACCGGCUAACUACGUG
rnacentral:rRNA from 1 species